rnacentral:tRNA from 1 species
GGGGUUGUGGCUCAGUGGUAGAGUGCUUACUUAGAAUGUGUGAGGCACUGGGUUCAAUUCUCAGCACCACA